AGAGUUUGAUCCUGGCUCAGGAUGAACGCUAGCUACAGGCUUAACACAUGCAAGUCGAGGGGUAGCAGGGUAGCAAUACCGCUGACGACCGGCGCACGGGUGAGUAACACGUAUCCAACCUUCCCAUAACUCAGGGAUAGCCUUUCGAAAGAAAGAUUAAUACCUGAUAGUACUUUUUCAAGGCAUCUUGAGAAAGUUAAAGAUUUAUUGGUUAUGGAUGGGGAUGCGUUCCAUUAGAUAGUUGGUGAGGUAACGGCUCACCAAGUCUUCGAUGGAUAGGGGUUCUGAGAGGAAGGUCCCCCACAUUGGUACUGAGACACGGACCAAACUCCUACGGGAGGCAGCAGUGAGGAAUAUUGGUCAAUGGGCGAGAGCCUGAACCAGCCAAGUAGCGUGAAGGAUGAAGGUCCUAUGGAUUGUAAACUUCUUUUAUAGUAGAAUAAAGUGAUCCACGUGUGGAUUUUUGUAUGUAUACUAUGAAUAAGGAUCGGCUAACUCCGUGCCAGCAGCCGC
rnacentral:rRNA from 1 species